rnacentral:rRNA from 1 species
UACGAAGGGGGGCUAGCGUUGCUCGGAAUCACUGGGCGUAAAGGGUGCGUAGGCGGGUCUUUAAGUCAGGGGUGAAAUCCUGGAGCUCAACUCCAGAACUGCCUUUGAUACUGGGAGCCUUGAGUUCGGGAGAGGUGAGUGGAACUGCGAGUGUAGAGGUGAAAUUCGUAGAUAUUCGCAAGAACACCAGUGGCGAAGGCGGCUCACUGGCCCGAUACUGACGCUGAGGUGCGAAAGCGUGGGGAGCAAACAGGG